rnacentral:lncRNA from 1 species
GCCAUAUACCUUCUGAGAGAGAAGGAGACAUUGAGAAUGCAGAGGAUGUCAGCACUUCAAAAACAACUGGAAAGAAAAGAAAAAGGUUCGGUGACUUUGGAUGACACUGACAGAUAUGUGUGUUGCAGGACCACGCAGAGGCUGACCUCAGAUUUCACCUCUGUAAUUGAGGAGUCCUGUAGACACGUGCCCACGGGGGCCCAGGAGAGACCACCACCGCUGCAAGCUCACUGCUACCUCUGCGCCGGAGGAAAAGGGUGUCUGAAAAUGACGUUUCCUAUGAGUCCCAAGCAAAAAUAAAUGUUUGGCCCGAUCAGAUCUUGCUAUGGUUUUCUGAUCAUUUCCCAGCUGUGUUGUUUUCUGUCAUGUUGUGUAAAAUGUGGCUUAAUUGGCUUAAAUAUCUUCUACACAUACACUGUGCCUUCACAAAUCCACUAGGUCAUGUGUAUGUGGGCUUGUUUUAUUGAACAUUAAUUUUUCUCUAUAUAUAUGUAAACUCUAGAUCUUUUGCGAAAGAUUUAGACACUGAUGGACAUUUCAGAUCUUAAACAUGUUGCUUUUUCUGUGGAACUCCAACUCUCAUUUGAUGAACUAGGCCACCAACUAGGAUUGAAAUGCUUCUCACUUCUUUAAUCUGUGCCUUGUUGUGUUUUAAUUAAUUUUUUGCUUCAUGGGAGUGUUAUGGUUAUAUUGAGACACUGUUGUUUUUGUCUGUUUGUUUGGUUUUUUCUCUUCACGGAUGAAAAGUUGCAGGUUAAAGAAGCUCAUGUUAUUAGUUUUUACUCAUUGCCCUCUCCACAAAAGCAUAAUUAUGGGUUGAAAAUUGCAGCUCAGUGAUGUGCAUGUGCAACACAUGGCUGCAAAUUCCUUAGGAUGCUUUUUUAAGUUGUUCUAGUUGAUUAUGCUGGAAACCCUGAUGUUAAUUUGGGAGGAAAAGAAAAUAUACUCUAAAGGUCCUACAGACAGUUAUUAGGAUCUGAGAUCCUGCGAAUGGCUUGUUAAUGUUCGUUUAAUUAAUUAUUUUAGUUUGUGCUUUUGACAUCCUCUUCAAUUGUAUGUUUAGAUCUGAUUGGAUUAAUGUGCAUUUUAGUAUUUAGUAAGGCAUUUUUUGACACGAAUUAAUGUUAGGAGACCAUUUUGUUCUCUUUGCUUCAGUUUUGAUAUUCGACCGAUGUAAUGUCAACAAAAGACAGGCUAACGUUUUUUGUUAUAUAUCUAUAAAUCACGUUGGAUGCACUUAUUAAAUGUGGAAAAAGUGACCAACCUGCUGUGCUUUUUAACCUCGUGAAGACUCACUAUAGCCGUUAUCGCUCUUUGGUAACUUUAACCCCAGAACACAUACACGCUUUUUAAAUCACACGAG